rnacentral:rRNA from 1 species
AGCAGCCGCGGUAAUUCCAGCUCCAAUAGCGUAUAUUAAAGUUGUUGCAGUUAAAAAGCUCGUAGUUGAAUUUCGGGACUAAUAUGUCGGUCGUACUUUGUACGUACUAGCAUUAUUGGUUUCUCCCUUCUGACGAACCACGAUGUCAUUAAUUUGGUGUCAUGGGAAAUCAGGACUGUUACUUUGAAAAAAUUAGAGUGUUUAAAGCAAGCUCGCGCUUGAAUACAUUAGCAUGGAAUAAUGAAAUAGGACGUUUGAUUCUAUUUUGUUGGUUUCUAGGAUCGACGUAAUGAUUAAUAGGGAUAGUUGGGGGCAUUAGUAUUCAAUUGUCAGAGGUGAAAUUCUUGGAUUUAUUGAAGACUAACUACUGCGAAAGCAUUUGCCAAGGAUGUUUUCAUUAAUCAAGAACGAAAGUUAGGGGAUCGAAGACGAUCAGAUACCGUCGUAGUCUUAACCAUAAACUAUGCCGACUAGGGAUCGGAUGAUGUAAUUUU